GCGGCCUAUCAGCUUGUUGGUGAGGUAAUGGCUCACCAAGGCGACGACGGGUAGCCGGCCUGAGAGGGCGACCGGCCACACUGGGACUGAGACACGGCCCAGACUCCUACGGGAGGCAGCAGUGGGGAAUAUUGGGCAAUGGAGGAAACUCUGACCCAGCGACGCCGCGUGCGGGAUGAAGGCCUUCGGGUUGUAAACCGCUUUCAGUAGGGAAGAAGCGAAAGUGACGGUACCUACAAAAGAAGCACCGGCUAACUAUGUGCCAGCAGCCGCGGUAAUACAUAGGGUGCAAGCGUUGUCCGGAAUUAUUGGGCGUAAAGAGCUCGUAGGUCGUUUGUUACGUCGGAUGUGAAAACCUGAGGCUCAACCUCAGGCCUGCAUUCGAUACGGGCAAACUAGAGUUUGGUAGGGGAGACUGGAAUUCCU
rnacentral:rRNA from 1 species